CUAUUCUCAAGUCUUCAUGGGGACUGUGUGAGUUGGCUCCCUGCAUUCUGAUCCCGGGUCACAAACAAUCUGUUGGCCAAGUUUUGAUACUUCUUAAGAGCAGAGCUGGUCUUCGCCUUCCUGUGAUAGUUCUCCAUGCAUUUAGUACAAUAGUGUGCACAUAUGGGGAAACAGGCUCAGGCCUCUGGAAGAAGAAGAGCUGGGACUGAAGGUCAAAACUGUUGGGUUUUAUGUCCAGUGCACUUUUCCUCAAAC
rnacentral:lncRNA from 1 species